AUUGAACGCUGGCGGCAGGCUUAACACAUGCAAGUCGAGCGGAGAUGAGGUGCUUGCACCUUAUCUUAGCGGCGGACGGGUGAGUAAUGCUUAGGAAUCUGCCUAUUAGUGGGGGACAACAUUCCGAAAGGAAUGCUAAUACCGCAUACGCCCUACGGGGGAAAGCAGGUGAUCUUCGGACCUUGCGCUAAUAGAGGAGCCUAAGUCGGAUUAGCUAGUUGGUUGGGUAAAGGCCUACCAAGGUGACGAUCUGUAGCGGGUCUGAGAGGAUGAUCCGCCACACUGGGACUGAGACACGGCCCAGAAUCCUACGGGAUGCAGCAGUGGGGAAUAUUGGACAAUGGGCGGAAGCCUGAUCCAGCCAUGCCGCGUGUGUGAAGAAGGCCUUUUGGUUGUAAAGCACUUUAAGCGAGGAGGAGGCUACCUGGAUUAAUACUCUAGGAUAGUGGACGUUACUCGCAGAAUAAGCACCGGCUAACUCUGUGCCAGCCGCCGCAGUAAGAC
rnacentral:rRNA from 1 species